ACAGGCUCAGCUCCACCUCGUUGAUGUUGACUACUGCGACUUUGUUGUCUGGACUAAAAAUGACCUCUUUGUAGAGAGAAUUGUGCGUGAUGUGGACCUGUGGGACAACAGCAUUCCCAGAGUUGAGAGUUUCUUCAGACUAUGUGUUCUCCCUGAAGUGUUGGGACAGCAACUUACAAGGGGAAAGUUUCAGUUGCAAGAUGAUCAGGAGGGAGAGAAGGCGUGAUUACCAGCACCUGUGGUCUGUCCUGGUCCCGGAAGUUGUGGUUCUCUCCUUGUUGCAUUAUUAUUACGUGCCGUAGUGGGUGCUGGUGUUUGGGUGUCUUUUUCUCUCUCCCUCUGAUCUCCCCAGGUGCUCCCAAUCUCCAAUCAGCGCCUCCAUAUAGGACAUGAGGAAGGUUGCAGUCGCUCUCCCCUUAUCUUAAGCUUUGUUUGACAAGUUGGCUGGUGAGCCCUUUUUCGUUGUGUUAAUUAAAAGACCACUUUAUGGCGUCAGAGAUCAGUUUCCUCUCCUUUUUCUCUCGGCCGGUUAUGUUGUGUGUCGCUACUUCCCUUUGUACCCCUAUAUUUACAAGGGAACGUAACAUUUGCACAGUGGCAGCUCUUUAACCUGCAUUACAGCACCUUCAUAUUCACUGACCACACUCACUAGAGGAAGUAGGGCUGUGUGAUAUAUUGCUAUUGUAAAAAAGAUGUUUACUGAAAAGAUUAAAUGAUACUAAGACUGAAUAAUACAUGGUUUCUUAUUUACAUUUACAAUAACCCUCAAUGGCCAUACAUGGGAGCGUCACCAGACCAAUUGUCAUCUCUAGAAUAUUGUUGAAUGAAUUAAGCCUGAAUGUAGAUGAAAGUUGUAUAUUGAGUAGGGCUACACAAUUUUCAACACAAAAAGAUGUUUACUGAAAAGACUUGAACACAAGAUGUUUGAACACAAAAAGAUGUUUACUGAAAAGAUUAAAUGAUACUGAAUAAUA